UAUUGCCCCUCCUCUUAGGACUCAGAGUGAGUGGUGAGGACAGACAAGACCAAGUGUGGAAGUCACGGGAUGUCAUGAGCGCAUGCUGCUACCUGCUGGGCCUCGUGCCGUGCCUGCUGUCACCGGCCACUGCGAAGUUUACUGAACUUUUUACAACAGGUGGGCUCGGACAUAAAGCAAACAGGCUGACGGCCGUGCUGAAUGCCCCUGGGCAUCUUCUCCGUGUCAUGUUGUCAGAGGACUGGGUGGGGAGUGAGCAAAGCAGCGGGGGGCAUCGAUUGCAGCACAACAAGCAGAAGCAGCAGCGCUGAGCACGAGAGAGAGGCUGUUUACUGUGUGUAGUGAGGAGAGACUGAAGAGGAACAGAGGGGUAAGACCAAAGUAAUGGAAUUGAA
rnacentral:lncRNA from 1 species